UAAGUAGGCAGAGGAUGAGAUACACAACUGGAUUGGCACAGUAGUUGCGAAUGAACAGCAAAUUGCUCAAAUUGAAUUUGGGGACACCUGGCCCUCAACAUGAAAUCUCUGAAUGCUCCACCAACAAAGGCUCAGGAACAAAACCAUUCUGGAGGGGAUUGUGAAAGUGCCAACAGGGGUGAGAAUCCUGUGGUUCUUGCAGACCUUGUUCACGGUGUCUGCUUUCCAGAGCCAUGCUCCUUGGAACUGGAGUGCAAAGUGGGUGGUAGCUUCCACACAAAGGCAAACACACCACUGAGACUGACAGUGAAGAAGUACCGUGAGGGAAGUAUGAAAAGGACUUUGGAAAGAGAUUUAAAAGAGCCUGCACUUGCUGGACAACAAGCAUACAGAAUGAUCGUGUGAUUGGACAGAUUGCUGUGUGAAUACAGGUAACAAUCCUGUGCUGCAUGCGGAGAUUCUUUCUUGGUGUGCCAACUAGUGUGAGAGCAGUCAGUAUCUGUGGGCAGUGCUUGGGGUGUGUCUUGUGUCACAUGUGAUUGUAUGUACCUGGUCUGAACAUGUGAAACUGCAUCUACUGGCAAUGAAGAGUUAUGCAUGCAGUUGCUUUCACCAACGGUUCACCUUGUCAACGACAUGGGUGCCUUUCUGUGUGACCCGUCUUGAAACACGGACCAAGGAGUCUAGGCAGUAUGCAAGCUUGGGGGUGACAAACUCUGAGCACAAUGAAGCUGGAGUCCCGGAAAUGGCAGGGGUGUUCAACCAAGCAACAGGACAAGGUUUGAGUCUGAGCACACUUGUUAGGACCCGAAAGAUGGUGAACUAUGCCUGAAAAGGGCCAAGCCAGGGGAAACUCUGGUGGAGGCUUGCAGCGGUACUGACGUGCAAAUCGUUCGUCACACUUGGGUAUAGGGGCGAAAGACUAAUCGAACCAUCUAGUAGCUGGUUCCCUCUGAAGUUUCCCUCAGGAUAGCUGGAGCUGAGGAGUUUCAUCAGGUAAAGCGAAUGACUGGAGGAAUUGGGGGUUGUCUACUUCUGACCUAUUCUCAAACUUUUAAUGGGUAUGCUGCAGUGGUUGCUUCACUGAACCUGCAAGAAAUUCCGUGUUCAAGUGGGCCACUUUUGGUAAGCAGAACUGGCGAUGAGGGGUGAACCUGAUGAUUGGUUGAGGCACUCAACUUCGUGCUCAUCAGAUACCUGAAGGGUGUUGGCUCAUUUUGACAGCAGGACGGUGGUCAUGGAAGUCGAAAUCCGCUUGGGAGUGU
rnacentral:rRNA from 1 species